CUCAGGAUGAACGCUAGCGGGAGGCCUAACACAUGCAAGCCGAGCGGUAGAGAUCUUUCGGGAUCUUGAGAGCGGCGUACGGGUGCGGAACACGUGUGCAACCUGCCUUUAUCUGGGGGAUAGCCUUUCGAAAGGAAGAUUAAUACCCCAUAAUAUAUCGAGUGGCAUCAUUUGAUAUUGAAAACUCCGGUGGAUAGAGAUGGGCACGCGCAAGAUUAGAUAGUUGGUGAGGUAACGGCUCACCAAGUCUGCGAUCUUUAGGGGGCCUGAGAGGGUGAUCCCCCACACUGGUACUGAGACACGGACCAGACUCCUACGGGAGGCAGCAGUGAGGAAUAUUGGACAAUGGGUGAGAGCCUGAUCCAGCCAUCCCGCGUGAAGGACGACGGCCCUAUGGGUUGUAAACUUCUUUUGUAUAGGGAUAAACCUACUCUCGUGAGAGUAGC
rnacentral:rRNA from 1 species